rnacentral:rRNA from 1 species
GAUGAACGCUGGCGGCGUGCUUAACACAUGCAAGUCGAGCGAAGCACUUAUCAUUGACUCUUCGGAAGAUUUGAUAUUUGACUGAGCGGCGGACGGGUGAGUAACGCGUGGGUAACCUGCCUCAUACAGGGGAAUAACAGUUAGAAAUGGCUGCUAAUGCCGCAUAAGCGCACAGGACCGCAUGGUCCGGUGUGAAAAACUGAGGUGGUAUGAGAUGGACCCGCGUCUGAUUAGGUAGUUGGUGGGGUAACGGCCUACCAAGCCGACGAUCAGUAGCCGGCCUGAGAGGGUGAACGGCCACAUUGGGACUGAGACACGGCCCAGACUCCUACGGGAGGCAGCAGUGGGGAAUAUUGCACAAUGGGGGAAACCCUGAUGCAGCGACGCCGCGUGAAGGAAGAAGUAUCUCGGUAUGUAAACUUCUAUCAGCAGGGAAGAAAAUGACGGUACCUGACUAAGAAGC